GACGAACGCUGGCGGCGUGCCUAAUACAUGCAAGUCGAGCGGACGAAUCGAAAGCUUGCUUUUGAUUCGUUAGCGGCGGACGGGUGAGUAACACGUGGGCAACCUGCCCUGUAGACGGGGAUAACACCGAGAAAUCGGUGCUAAUACCGGAUAACACGAAAUGUCGCAUGACGUUUCGUUGAAAGACGGCGCAAGCUGUCGCUACAGGAUGGGCCCGCGGCGCAUUAGCUAGUUGGUGAGGUAACGGCUCACCAAGGCGAGGAUGCGUAGCCGACCUGGGGGGGUGAUCGGCCACACUGGGACUGAGACACGGCCCAGACUCCUACGGGAGGCAGCAGUAGGGAAUCUUCCGCAAUGGACGAAAGUCUGACGGAGCAACGCCGCGUGAGCGAAGAAGGCCUUCGGGUCGUAAAGCUCUGUUGUUAGGGAAGAACAAGUAACGCAGUAACUGGCGUUACCGUGACGGUACCUAACGAGAAAGCCACGGCUAACUACGUG
rnacentral:rRNA from 1 species